GGGGCCAGAGCUGGGGCGUCUGCUUUGCAUGCAGAAGGUCCCGGGUUCAAGUCCUGGCAUCUCCA